UUAAACGAGCCAUAUGAUUCAAUUUUGGGUAAAUGUAAUGGUCAAUAGUUGGUCACAGUGCUGAAAUGUAUUAUCUGUUAGCAGAGAAAUCUUUUUGGCUCAAGCCAAAGUUAAAAUUCAUAGUUUUUUUGGAUUUGUAUUUAACCCCUCAUUAGUGCAUUGUGUUUGUGCAUUUGAUCAGAUGGUUGGCUUGCCUUUAUCCUGUAAGCAAUACACUAGUUAUUGUUGUUGUAAUGGAUUCAAUAUUUGAGCAAUAUUGGGAUUACUGUGCUAGUCCUAUAUACAUACUACCCUAAUGAUUAAUACAUUUUGUCACACUUUUUUUUUUCUUUUUCCCAGUGAUUUUGUUACCACUACUGGCCUGCAAAUUAACAGCCAAGCAGGCCAAAAAGAAGUGGAAUAAUCUUAAGGAAAAGUACAAGAUAUCAUGCCUGCUUCUCUGCUCUGUGUUGUAUACUGAAAGAACUUUCCUGAGAUUCCUGUCAAAGAAACUACAUAGUCUAAUUUUGUCAGACCAUAUAUAAAACAGACAACAACACUGAUGUAGUGGACCUUGAAAUAAAGUGAACUGUGCAAAUGUGAAUAUAAUCAGUCAGUUUCACAAUGUAGUAAUCAAAACCCUUUUUCCAGGAGCUCAGAGAUCCACCAACAGGGAAAGAGGUACAGUCUGGUAGUGUGACUGCUGCCACCUGGCAGUGGUAUAUUGUGAUGGAUGCUGCACUCCAGGGGCAGCACUCAAUUAGUCCGCAAUUGGUUGUUGCAGCAAACUUAACUGCCAUUGCGGGUGGUGUGGUCACACUGGCCUCACCAGAGGAAGCCAGGGCCAGUCAGCUUCCCAGAAAGAGGCCCAGGGACAGCCAUGCUCUUCUGGAUUUCUUAAGAGAAGAGGCAGAGAGGGGUGAGGAGAGGGAAAGGGCAGCUGUUGCAAGAGAGGGAAAGGGCAGCAACAGAUAGAGCUGAUCGGUACCCGGCUCUUUUUGAAAGCCUUGUAAAAAAAGCUGUAAAUAAAAAAAUUAGAGAGUGAGUGAGAUAGAGAGUGUUACAGUCUAGAUAUAGUCAUGUUCACACAGACAUGCUGGCAGUCCCUCUGGAGCAGAAACGCGUGCAGUGAGUCUUCCCCGGACACAGUUUCCCUGCUUUCUUCACCGGUGCUGCUGGUGUUGUCCUCGCUGUCAUCCGGAUUCUCCUCCUCCACCUCCUCCAGGAUAUCACCUGCUGUCACACAUAUGUUGUGGAGGAUGCAGCAGGCACCUAUCACCUUUGGGGCGAAGAGAGGCCGGAUCUCCAGGGCCCCCAGAAAAAUGUUCCGCCAGCGAGUCUUCAGGAUCGCUGAAGGCUGGCGGUAUGGUGUCAUGAUGGCCACCGGAGGCUGCAGACACAGAUAGCCACAAUCUCCCAACAAGAAAUAUCCAGCUGGUGGAUACAGUGCAUGCUGGUACAUAGGGGACCUUCGGAGAACCAAUGCGUCAUGGAUUGCCGAUGGGGCACAAUGCGGAUGUGGCACCCAUCGAUGGCACCAGCUGCAUGGCAGAAAGCCUUGUGACCAGCCAGACGAGAAAAGUCAGCCCCCACCUCCAUCGCAUCUGUUGUGGGGAAAUGAAUGGCUCUGUGGUUGAUGGUCAUCAUUUCCUCUACAACUUUGUGGACGAUCCUGAACACGCUUGGUAGUGGGAUGCUUAAGAUGUCAGCAGUAUCCCUAGAUGUCCCACGGGCCAGCCAAUAGAUGGUUACCAGCACUUCAAUCUCAUGGCUCCAUCCAUGGCCUUUCUUCCGGGGCAGCAUCUGGACCAGCAUAUCAAAGCUGGUCCUGGACAGCUGGAAGGCUGGUUUAGUGUCUGCUCCAGAGAAGAAUAUGGCAAGGAUGGCCAUGAUGUGUGGUGUUUACUUGAGCUAUUUCUGUCUGUCAUUGCUUGAUAGGCAGGGUCUGUGUCAAUAAGUAUAAUUGCUGUGCAUGAUAAACAAUAUACUACUCAGGCUAAAUAUAUUUAUGACAUGAGGUACAUGUACUUAUUGCAUUAAUGUAGAGCUGUUUGUGCACUUAAUUGUGUGCACACAGGUUUGUAUGCGGAAUGCAGGCUAACCCAUUACAAUAUUAGAUUAUUAGAAGCCUGUUUAUUAUGCAGACCUUGAUACAGUUAAUGUAAUACAGUACCCCUGGAAUAAAUGUUAAUUUUAGCCAUGUGUUAAUAUAAUCUAAUUUUGAGGUGUUAGUUUUAUGAAUAAGGAUAGACUAAAAAACAACUCUCACUAAAACUAUAGUUCAACAGCACUCGUGUGUUUGUGUGUACUUAAUACAGUAUUAUUAGAUUAACAAUACAUUAUACAGCAUAAUGAUUAGACAAACGUACAUGGGUAGCAAGACUUGCUAUUAAGGCACGUCUGCUCUUCACCCUCUGCUGCAUUCUGGCCAUCCUGGCUUGUCUUUCCCGGACCCGCCUCCUCAGGUGGGCAGCCUCCUCUUUUCAUCCUGCUGGUAAUCCCGACAGCGAAGACAACGGCAACACGGUUUCGAUCCAUUUAUAGUAGUUUUUUAAUGCUACUCUCCUC